rnacentral:lncRNA from 1 species
ACCGGAAACUCCGCCUUGAACUUCGGUUUUUGUGGUAUGGAUCCCUUCCCCUCUCCACCAAAUCUUGCUAUGGGCCUUGCCUGCCGUCUCUCAAGCAACGCGUAGCAUUGCCCUGCUGGGCAUGUGGUGCUCACAUGCUCCUCUGUCGCACGGCUCCAUCCUCAUCCCGUCGCCUCUCCGACCCAAUCGCAGGUGUUUCCCUCCAGUUUGUCAUGAACCACAGAAGGACGCACAGGAGCAGCAUCUGGCAUUCAGAGCCUGACAGGUUUCAUGGUUGCACACAAGCGAUGGGUCAAAGGAGCCUGCGAAAUAUGUAACUAAGUGUUGUUUCUUUCUGCCAAAUCAUUUAUUCUUAAUUUCCUCAUUUCAUAUUCUCAUAAAUCAUCCUCUGAUGUUGAUUGCAAAUAGAAACAUGUUUUACAGUCUUUUAGAUUUCGGUCAUCAGAGGGAAUUUGGAUUCCUUCUCUAUCACCACACAUAGAAAUGUAUGUCAGUGCUAAUUAAAAAUGUGUAGGAAAUUGAGUUUUCUUUUAUCUGUACUGCAUUAUCAGUCUACGGCAGGGCGUCAUGGAGAAGCCAAGUUUAACCGAGAUUUCAAAAUUUUGUGGCCUUCGUUAAAUUAAAAAAAAGGUGAUUCUAUUUCUUGAAGCUCCCGACUGCUCAUGUACUAUUUCACAUUGCCAUCUUCCAUUACAAUUUCGUUCACGGUAACAUUGAGAAUCCUACAACAUUAGUGGUGUGAGAUAUUUUGUAAGUGUUAUAGUGAUGUGCAUUUUUGUAGGUUUGUAGUUUUGUGACUCCAUUUGGUUUUAUAAGUGUGAUUCACCAAUACAAUUCGAAUGUGAAUUGCUUGCAGUUUUGUAUAAGACUAUUUGGUUUGUCCUGCUAACUCCGCCACACCUCAGUUUUGGUCCUAGGUAAGCCGCUGCGUGUAUGACGGCCUAAGAUGCCAUGGCCGGCGUGGUGUGAUGGUGGUUUACAGCGGAUCAAGAUUGUUGGCAAGGACUUCCCACUGAGUAUGAGAGGCCGGUGACCAUCCGUCCAUGAUUCUUCCUCGGUAUGCCACUCUGAGGAUGUCGAGGCCUUCCCAAUGAGUAUUUCAGUUCCCGAAGUCUCUCUUUCUGAUGGCAAGGUAAAGUUUAGUUCGUUGGUGACCAUGUUCAUUAAAUAUUCUUGUCAGAGUCCUCGAUUCCAAGCUUACAUUAUAAUGCAUUUUAGCCCAGAGAUACGAUUUUCACCAUGUGUCUGUUGUAGCCAAGGCCAUACAUCGCCUCCUACCGUGAGUAAAUUUGAAACCCCAUAUCCAUAAAAUGUUGUACUCACUUGGCAAUCCCAGAUCUGUUCUGGACUCUUGGUAUUCAGUCUAAAUUAUAAGCAGGCAUGAUGCUCAAUAUUGUAGCAAUGAACAUCAGGGCGCGUACUAAGUUCCAACUAAGAAAGUUCAGUUUGGCUAUUUGCCUUUUUUUACAUAGAUUAGAAUGAGUAGCUGCAAAAGAGUUCUGUCAUUUUGAGUUUUUGUGUAAGAGAAGGUACCAUCAACAAUCACGCAUAAUAUAAUAUGGAUAGCUUCAAACAUGUAGCUAUCCCAUGGGCUUGAGUUAUAUUACCGAAGCGGGGAUCUGUAUGUAUAAGUGUAAAGAUGUCCUAUAGUCAUUUUUUUGUAUGAUUUUCUAAGUGUUGCCUUUGUUGUCUUUACCUAAUGAUAACCCGCUAGCAAAUAGGUUGUCAGAAUCGCGAUUCUGUUAUACGAUUCUACGACUUUACGAUCCAAACUAACCCCUAUGAUUCUACGAUUUUAGUUCUUAGAAUCUACGUUUCUACGAUCCUGCUAGUGAAGAUUCUACGAUUUGCGAUCCUACCAUCGAAGCUCCGAUCCGAUUCAAGAUCGCGAUUCUGACAACCUUAGAAGUAAAUAAUUUGUUCCUUAUCUUAGCACCUAAUUUGCCUGCAUUAUGUUGUUAAUAGUAGCAUUUUUUGUUCAAAUUUUCAUCCUGUUGCGAAUCUGCAUGCCUUGUUUCUAAUUAUUUAAGUUCAGACUGUCCCUUCAAACGCCAUGAGUCAAGUCUAGGAUAUGUCAGCAUGAUGCUUCCACUCCCAACAUGAGACCAGAUUCUUUUAAUUUCGGGUAGGAAACUAUCAUGGUUAUUAUUUUACUCUCUGGAUGUUGCACAAAUGCUUGAACAAUUUCCUUGUAGAUUUCAGUGUAGUGGUUGCAAAAGUGUUGAUGGAAAUGGCUUAUUGAGUUGCCAAUUUUUAAUUGCAGGGACUGGUGAAGCACAAACAUGCGACAUGGCUUGGAGUAGACACCAACUCCAUGGUUCCAUUCUGCAAGAUGUGGCUUGGAUUACCGUGCUGCUGAGAACAGUGGCUGCGCUUGGUUUUGAAAUUGGGAAGGUUUAAUUCAAGAUUUUUAUAUCUUCCCCCUGUUUUUGUAUGGACAAUGUGUGUGCUGUUUAUAAAAUGUUUAGUUAUGUUUGGCUGAUGAGUAUAAACUCUUUUCUCUGCAUGUUUACCAUGAAUGAUGAAACACACAUCAGUUGGCUCACUUGAGUUCCUGUGCUAACUGAUAAUCCAUGCAGUCUCUUAUUCUGUAUGCUAUACAAGUUUGUUUUAGCGUCAUAUUGACUAGCAUUUAGAUAAUGUCAAACCAUGUCAAAUGAUGGGGUUGUGUGAAGCGGAGGUUACUUCUAUUUUAUCACGUCGCAUGUGAAGCUUAUGCAAGGACAUGCCAUUUUAGGUACUUUGCAUGAGAAUGCAAGAGCUCUGCUUUUG